AUUGAACGCUGGCGGCAGGCCUAACACAUGCAAGUCGAGCGGGGUUUUCGGACCUAGCGGCGGACGGGAGAGUAAUGCGUAGGAAGCUACCCGAUAGAGGGGGAUACCAGUUGGGAACGACUGUUAAUACCGCAUAAUGUCUACGGACCAAAGUGUGGGACCUUCGGGCCACAUGCUAUCGGAUGCGCCUACGUGGGAUUAGCUAGUUGGUGGGGUAAUGGCUCACCAAGGCGACGAUCCCUAGCUGGUUUGAGAGGAUGAUCAGCCACACUGGAACUGAGACACGGUCCAGACUCCUACGGGAGGCAGCAGUGGGGAAUAUUGGACAAUGGGCGCAAGCCUGAUCCAGCCAUGCCGCGUGUGUGAAGAAGGCCUUCGGGUUGUAAAGCACUUUCAGUAGGGAGGAAGAGUAGAGUGUUAAUAGCACAGCAUUUUGACGUUACCUACAGAAGAAGCACCGGCUAACUCUGUGCCAGCCGCCGCGGUAACAC
rnacentral:rRNA from 1 species